rnacentral:rRNA from 1 species
UCAGACGAUGCGUCAUGCAUAUCAAUAAGCGGAGGAAAAGAAACUAACAAGGAUUCCCUUAGUAACGGCGAGUGAAGCGGGAAGAGCUCAAAUUUGAAAUCUUCAAGGUUUUACCUUGACGAAUUGUAGUUUAAAGAAGUGUUUUCUGUUGUAGUUUUGGUAAAAGUUCUUUGGAAUAGGACAUCAUAGAGGGUGAGAAUCCCGUAUUUGACCAUUAUUUUCAGCUGUGUGAUACACUUUCAAAGAGUCGGGAUUGUUUGGGAAUGCAGUCCAAAAUGGGUGGUAAAUCUCACCUAAAGCUAAAUAUUUGCGAGAGACCGAUAGCGAACAAGUACCGUGAGGGAAAGAUGAAAAGGACUUUGAAAAGAGAGUUAAACAGUACGUGAAAUUGUCAAAAGGGAAGCGUUUGACACCAGUGUUGUUUUCUCGAAAAUCAAUUAAAAAGAGUUUGAUUUUGUUGUGUAUUGACCUUAACAGCUUGCAUUUCAAUUUUCUUGCUUUUUUUAAUGCACUUUUCGUUUAACAAGUCAACAUCAGUUUCUUUUGUUGUAAAAAGGUCAUUGGAAGGUGGCUUUCUUUUCGGAGAAAGUGUUUAUAGCCUUUGACUCCUGCAAUCGGAGAGACUGAGGUCUGCAGCGUAGAUCCUUCGGGGUUAGAUACAUUUGUGCUAAGUUAUAGCUUUUUAUAGACAACUUGUUGACUAUGAUUAGUCUUGUAGCUUACUCGCUUAUGCUAUUUUACCUACGCUUAGGAUGUUGAGUCGUAGAGCACGCAG